GAAAUAUUUAGGUGUAAAGUGUUUGUAGGUGGCUUUUUAAAUUUGUCGUCAAUUCUAGGGGUCAACCCUAGACAAGCAAUGGAAACUGUCAAGUUGAAGUAUGGUAGGGCAGAGGAGAUUUUCGGUAGUGCAGUAAAAUGAGUAGAAAUGGAAAAGCUCGCAUACAUAGUAAAAUGCACAAUAGAAUACCAAGGACAAAGCACUCUAUUAGGCCGACACUCACAUCGAGAGUUAAAACCUAAGUGAGUAAAUAAGAUUAGAUAUUCCAGUAGUCUUAACUAUAAACAAUAGAUAUUUAGCACUCUGCACAUC
rnacentral:ncRNA from 1 species